ACGACAUGGUGAGGGAACUUUCUAAGCAUCCCCUUGGAUCUCUUCCAAAUCUCAUAAAUAAACUCUCCUUCUAAUUGAGUAAAAUAAAUAAUAUCAUUUCUAUGUUU